AGCGAACGCUGGCGGCAGGCUUAACACAUGCAAGUCGAACGCAUCGCAAGAUGAGUGGCAGACGGGUGAGUAACGCGUGGGAAUCUACCCAGUUCUACGGAACAACAGUUGGAAACGACUGCUAAUACCGUAUACGCCCUACGGGGGAAAGAUUUAUCGGAAUUGGAUGAGCCCGCGUAAGAUUAGCUAGUUGGUGGGGUAAUGGCCUACCUAGGCGACGAUCUUUAGCUGGUCUGAGAGGAUGAUCAGCCACACUGGGACUGAGACACGGCCCAGACUCCUACGGGAGGCAGCAGUGGGGAAUAUUGGACAAUGGGCGCAAGCCUGAUCCAGCCAUGCCGCGUGAGUGAUGAAGGCCUUAGGGUUGUAAAGCUCUUUCACCGAUGAAGAUAAUGACGGUAGUCGGAGAAGAAGCCCCGGCUAACUUCGUGCCAGCAGCCGCCGUAACAC
rnacentral:rRNA from 1 species